rnacentral:tRNA from 1 species
CAAGAUGUAACUUAAUAGUAAAGUGAUUCAUUUACACUGGGUUUAUUUCUGUGCAAAUCAGGGUGUCUUGAU